rnacentral:lncRNA from 1 species
CACGCUACUUCCGGUUUCCUUUCCCUCAGCUAUUCCAUGGCUUUUCGUGUGGACAAAUCGGGAGGUGGUGUAAACUGGUUUUUGGUGAAAUUCGGCUCGGCCUCAUGCGAACCUAUCUAGGUCCGUCUCUGGAGUGGCCUGUCAUCGAUCGCGCCCUCCAUCGCUGAGCGACACAAGUGGAACCCCCCAGGACUGCAUUCUGCUUUUGGUCUGUGAACACAUUUGGGAAAUUCUUCUGAUCCUACCGCUACUCUCUUGAGAGAGAGAAACAAGGGAAAAAAAAGUUAAUUGCCUGAGGAUAUACUGCUAGUGUUGCGGGACAAAUAGAGACGGGAGAGGCCAAACAGAAUUCAGGACAACCCUUUAUUAUUAAGAUGAAGAAACAGCUCAGAUUUGACCAAGAUCACACAAGUAGGAGUUGAGGAAUUGGAACCCACUAUGACUGACUCCAAAUUAAUAUAGUGUUUAUAGCCACUUACAUAAUAAUGGUAAAGGUUUUAUUUUUUUCACUAUACAAUAUGUAGUAGAUAAAUUUACUGAGGAAAUGAGACAGCACGUGACAAAUCCUUAAAGGAUACACACAUGACAGGAAGGAUUAGAAGAGGAAACAGAAACAGGUAACAAAAAAAAAAAAAAA